rnacentral:rRNA from 1 species
GAUGAACGCUGGCGGCGUGCCUAAUACAUGCAAGUCGAGCGAACAGACGAGGAGCUUGCUCCUCUGACGUUAGCGGCGGACGGGUGAGUAACACGUGGAUAACCUACCUAUAAGACUGGGAUAACUUCGGGAAACCGGAGCUAAUACCGGAUAACAUGUUGAACCGCAUGGUUCAACAGUGAAAGACGGUCUUGCUGUCACUUAUAGAUGGAUCCGCGCCGCAUUAGCUAGUUGGUAAGGUAACGGCUUACCAAGGCAACGAUGCGUAGCCGACCUGAGAGGGUGAUCGGCCAAACUGGAGGUGAGACACGGCCCAGAGUGGUACGAGGGGGAGCAGUAGGAAAGAUUCCGCAAGGGGCGACAGCCUGACGGGAAGGCGCCGCGCGAGUGAAGAAGGUCUCGGGAUCGUGAGACAGGGUUAUUGGGAGAGAAAAGAUUUCUAGGUAGCUGGGCGACUGGAGGGGGUGCUUUACGAGAAAGACAGGGUUAACGGUGAG